CUCUUCAAUUAUGGGAAGGGAAUGCAGUUUUGCCUUGUACCGGUCUCCUCUCUUCCCUACUCUUUGACAAGUAUCACAAGUUUGGCAAUACUGCCGGAUUUCUUUGGAGACGCCUGGCCAAAAGAAGUUUUGGGUCAAACGGUGUUUGGUCCUACUGACGCCUAGAUGUCUGGCCAAGGGAAUAUCGUGGGCAAUACGUAGUAACUCCUGC